GCCUCGGUGGCGAAAUUGGUAGACGCACGGGACUUAAAAUCCCGCGGGGUUAAACCCGUGCCGGUUCGAUUCCGGCCCGAGGCACCA
rnacentral:tRNA from 1 species